rnacentral:lncRNA from 1 species
UAAACUAAAGAGCUUCUGCACAGCAAAAGAAACCAUCAUCAGAGUAAACAGACAACCUACAGAAUGGAACAAAUUUUUUGUAAUCUCUCUGUCUGACAAAGGACCUGAUUGUAUAAUGGUAAACACAACCAAUGUUGUUCCUGCUUUCAUAGAGUUUUCAUUUAAGUGGAUAAGACAGACAAACAGAUCAAAGGAUGAAGAGAGGUUUCCAGGUUAGUUAAGAUUUCCUCUGGGACAAAGCACAUUAUUUAUGUUCUCCCUGACCUGAAAGAGCACAUGGAUUUGGUUUAUUCUUUCUUCUCCCACUGACCUCCGAGAAUUCUUUAGAGGGCCUUGGCAUUUUUCAUUCCUCCAUUGGAUACGAGUGCUGCAUUUUAAUGGUGGAGAGAACUCCAGGAGAGGAACCAUUGUUAUGAAAUCAAACUGAGACAGACAUCUGUUUGGAAGACUCAGGCUCAUCUCUCAUUUCCCCAAAGCACUUC